rnacentral:rRNA from 1 species
CCCUUAGAUAUUCUGGGCAGCACGCGCGCUACAAUGGUCUUCGCAAACGGAUGCAUUCUCGAAGGAGAAUGCCAAUCUUGGAAUCUAUGCCUUGGUCGGGACAGUUGCUUGCAAUUUUUCGACUCGAACCAGGAAUUCCUUGUAAUCGUGAUUCAUCACAUCACGAUGAAUACGUCCCUGCCCUUUGUACACACCGCCCGUCGCUCCUACCGAUCGAAGAGUUAGGUGAAUUGUUUUGAUCGAUAAGAUUUGACUAUGGUCAACUCUCGUUGUGAAAUUCUGUGAAUCUGACUGUUUAGAGGAAGGAAAAGUCGUAACA